rnacentral:lncRNA from 1 species
CCCAAAGCUACAUUUUAGCAAGACUGUUGUUGUGCCUAUAUUCUAGUUUACCGGGAGAGAAAUUUUUGUUUUUAUUUACUACAUACUAUCUUUGCAUCCUAAAUGUGAAUUUUUACAUCCUUUGUCUUCAACUUUGAGAAUUGAACUGUCUUGUAGUUAUGUGAAACCAGUGUUGAUAAGUCAAUUACAUCUCUUAGAAUGUGAUGCAAUUUAAUUAGUGUUAAAGCUUAUUAAACAUAGCUGUUGCUUUAUCAUUUGUGAAAAUGAAAGCUUAAGUAUACCUACCUGUUCAGAGCAGAAAUAAAGCAAACAAGAAAACAGUAUGUCUCAUUCUUUAGUAAUGCAGAAGAAUGUACUAGAAACCUGAUAUGCAGCAGACUUUAGGUGCUUAUGAACACAAACAAGCAAAGUCUCAUGGCAGCUCAGAAAUGAGCAGCUGUCUGCCAUUUGAUAAAAAGGGAACUUUGGGUGAGAAAAUUUUAAUUCAAGGCCAUGUUGCUUUGAACCAAGGUUCCUGUCUUCCAGGAUUCUUUUCUCUACAACAUGCCAUCACAGAACAUACAAAGCUUUCAUUUUCCACUCCCCUCCCCCCAAAAAAAUUCUUUUUACUGUGUUUGUACUAGAAAUGCAGGGAGUUUACUUGUUGAAUUAACCUUUAUCUACACUGUUUCAUCUUUGUCCCAUUACAGUCCUCAUGUUUGAUAGAACAGAGAUUUCAGUUUACUACUGCAUGGUUCAUUUCUAAGAGGAACUCCUAAAGAAAGGAGCCAGCCUACUGAGAUUCAAGUGCAAGGAUAUCUAUCAUUCCAGGUCUUGCUGCUUCUCUGCUACAGUCACACUGACCUCUGGCAGUCAGGCUGCUAUGCAGAAGCACUGGAGAUGUCAUAAAGGCUGCCUUACACUUCCCAGAACUGGAAGUUUUGGAACAACUUGGGCAGAUGAAGAGUGUGCCUCACUGAAGUGUAUAGCUUCCUCUGGCCACUGUAUUUAAGAAACUUCGAGACUUCACCCCUGCCCCCUCCCCACCCCACCCCC